GCCUAACACAUGCAAGUCGAGCGGUAACAGAAAGUAGCUUGCUAUUUUGCUGUCGAGCGGCGGACGGGUGAGUAAUGCUUGGGAACAUACCUUGAGGUGGGGGACAACAGUUGGAAACGACUGCUAAUACCGCAUAAUGUCUACGGACCAAAGGGGGCUUAGGCUCUCGCCUUUAGAUUGGCCCAAGUGGGAUUAGCUAGUUGGUGAGGUAAUGGCUCACCAAGGCAACGAUCCCUAGCUGGUUUGAGAGGAUGAUCAGCCACACUGGAACUGAGACACGGUCCAGACUCCUACGGGAGGCAGCAGUGGGGAAUAUUGCACAAUGGGCGAAAGCCUGAUGCAGCCAUGCCGCGUGUGUGAAGAAGGCCUUCGGGUUGUAAAGCACUUUCAGUCAGGAGGAAAGGGUGUGAGUUAAUACCUCACAUCUGUGACGUUACUGACAGAAGAAGCACCGGCUAACUCCGUGCCAGCAGCCGCGGUAAUACGGAGGGUGCGAGCGUUAAUCGGAAUUACUGGGCGUAAAGCGUACGCAGGCGGUUUGUUAAGCGAGAUGUGAAAGCCCCGGGCUCAACCUGGGAACUGCAUUUCGAACUGGCAAACUAGAGUGUGAUAGAGGGGUGGUAGAAUUUCAGGUGUAGCGGUGAAAUGCG
rnacentral:rRNA from 1 species